UACGUAGGGUCCGAGCGUUGUCCGGAAUUACUGGGCGUAAAGCGUGCGCAGGCGGUUUGUUAAGUCUGUUGUGAAAUCCCCGAGCUCAACUUGGGAAUUGCAAUGGAUACUGGCAGGCUGGAGUAUGGUAGAGGAAGGUGGAAUUCCCGGUGUAGCAGUGAAAUGCGUAGAGAUCGGGAGGAACACCAGUGGCGAAGGCGGCCUUCUGGGCCAAUACUGACGCUCAUGCACGAAAGCGUGGGGAGCAAACAGG
rnacentral:rRNA from 1 species